CUGCGAGGAUGCCGUUCUUAGGACACCUUUGGAUGAACCGUGAAAACAGCUCCUGUCUGAGCAGC